AUUGAACGCUGGCGGCAGGCCUAACACAUGCAAGUCGAGCGGAUGAAGAGAGCUUGCUCUCUGAUUCAGCGGCGGACGGGUGAGUAAUGCCUAGGAAUCUGCCUGGUAGUGGGGGACAACGUUUCGAAAGGAACGCUAAUACCGCAUACGUCCUACGGGAGAAAGCAGGGGACCUUCGGGCCUUGCGCUAUCAGAUGAGCCUAGGUCGGAUUAGCUAGUUGGUGAGGUAAUGGCUCACCAAGGCGACGAUCCGUAACUGGUCUGAGAGGAUGAUCAGUCACACUGGAACUGAGACACGGUCCAGACUCCUACGGGAGGCAGCAGUGGGGAAUAUUGGACAAUGGGCGAAAGCCUGAUCCAGCCAUGCCGCGUGUGUGAAGAAGGUCUUCGGAUUGUAAAGCACUUUAAGUUGGGAGGAAGGGCAGUAAAUUAAUACUUUGCUGUUUUGACGUUACCGACAGAAUAAGCACCGGCUAACUCUGUG
rnacentral:rRNA from 1 species